rnacentral:rRNA from 1 species
GGGGGAUAUUGCGCAAUGGGGGCAACCCUGACGCAGCAACGCCGCGUGAAGGAUGAAGGUUUUCGGAUUGUAAACUUCUUUUAUUAAGGACGAAAAAUGACGGUACUUAAUGAAUAAGCUCCGGCUAACUGCGUGCCAGCAGCCGCGGUAAUACGUAGGGAGCAAGCGUUGUCCGGAUUUACUGGGUGUAAAGGGUGCGUAGGCAGCUUUGCAAGUCAGAUGUGAAAUCUAUGGGCUCAACCCAUAAACUGCAUUUGAAACUGUAGAGCUUGAGUGAAGUAGAGGCAGGCGGAAUUCCCCGUGUAGCGGUGAAAUGCGUAGAGAUGGGGAGGAACACCAGUGGCGAAGGCGGCCUGCUGGGCUUUAACUGACGCUGAGGCACGAAAGCGUGGGUAGCAAAC